rnacentral:rRNA from 1 species
UUUUAUGGAGAGUUUGAUCCUGGCUCAGGAUGAACGCUGGCGGCGUGCCUAAUACAUGCAAGUCGAGCGAACGGACGAGAAGCUUGCUUCUCUGAUGUUAGCGGCGGACGGGUGAGUAACACGUGGAUAACCUACCUAUAAGACUGGGAUAACUUCGGGAAACCGGAGCUAAUACCGGAUAAUAUUUUGAACCGCAUGGUUCAAAAGUGAAAGACGGUCUUGCUGUCACUUAUAGAUGGAUCCGCGCUGCAUUAGCUAGUUGGUAAGGUAACGGCUUACCAAGGCAACGAUGCAUAGCCGACCUGAGAGGGUGAUCGGCCACACUGGAACUGAGACACGGUCCAGACUCCUACGGGAGGCAGCAGUAGGGAAUCUUCCGCAAUGGGCGAAAGCCUGACGGAGCAACGCCGCGUGAGUGAUGAAGGUCUUCGGAUCGUAAAACUCUGUUAUUAGGGAAGAACAUAUGUGUAAGUAACUGUGCACAUCUUGACGGUACCUAAUCAGAAAGCCCCGGCUAACUACGUGCCAGCAGCCGCGGUAAUACGUAGGUGGCAAGCGUUAUCCGGAAUUAUUGGGCGUAAAGCGCGCGUAGGCGGUUUUUUAAGUCUGAUGUGAAAGCCCACGGCUCAACCGUGGAGGGUCAUUGGAAACUGGAAAACUUGAGUGCAGAAGAGGAAAGUGGAAUUCCAUGUGUAGCGGUGAAAUGCGCAGAGAUAUGGAGGAACACCAGUGGCGAAGGCGACUUUCUGGUCUGUAACUGACGCUGAUGUGCGAAAGCGUGGGGAUCAAACAGGAUUAGAUACCCUGGUAGUCCACGCCGUAAACGAUGAGUGCUAAGUGUUAGGGGGUUUCCGCCCCUUAGUGCUGCAGCUAACGCAUUAAGCACUCCGCCUGGGGAGUA